GGAUAUGGCUUAGUGGUAGAGUGCUUGCCUAGCAUGCAUGAAGCCCUGGGUUCAAUUCCUCAGUACCA
rnacentral:tRNA from 1 species